rnacentral:tRNA from 2 species
GCCAGCGUAGCUCAGUCGGUAGAGCGGCUGAUUCGUAAUCAGCAGGUCGGAGGUUCGAUCCCUCUCGCUGGCU